GUGAGGAAUUUUCCGCAAUGGGCGAAAGCCUGACGGAGCAAUGCCGCGUGAAGGAUGAAGGCCUAUGGGUUGUAAACUUCUUUUCUUAGAGAAGAAUAUUGACGGUAGCCGUUGAAUAAGCACCGGCUAACUCCGUGCCAGCAGCCGCGGUAAUACGGAGGGUGCGAGCGUUGUCAGGAUUUAUUGGGUUUAAAGGGUGCGUAGGCUGGAAGGUCAGUCAGCGGUGAAAAGCUAUCGCUUAACGAGAGUCUUGCCGCAGAUACUUCCUUUCUUGGAUGAGGAGGAGGCCACUGGAACGGAUGGUGUAGCGGUGAAAUGCAUAGAUAUCAUCCAGAACACCGAUUGCGAAGGCAGGUGGCUGUACCUUAAUCGACGCUGAUGCACGAAAGCAUGGGGAGUAAACAGGAUUAGAAACCCGGGUAGUCC
rnacentral:rRNA from 1 species